rnacentral:rRNA from 1 species
AUUGAACGCUGGCGGCAGGCCUAACACAUGCAAGUCGAGCGGAUGAGGGGAGCUUGCUUCCUGAUUCAGCGGCGGACGGGUGAGUAAUGCCUAGGAAUCUGCCUGGUAGUGGGGGACAACGUUUCGAAAGGAACGCUAAUACCGCAUACGUCCUACGGGAGAAAGUGGGGGAUCUUCGGACCUCACGCUAUCAGAUGAGCCUAGGUCGGAUUAGCUAGUUGGUGAGGUAAAGGCUCACCAAGGCGACGAUCCGUAACUGGUCUGAGAGGAUGAUCAGUCACACUGGAACUGAGGCACGGUCCAGACUCCUACGGGAGGCAGCAGUGGGGAAUAUUGGACAAUGGGCGAAAGCCUGAUCCAGCCAUGCCGCGUGUGUGAAGAAGGUCUUCGGAUUGUAAAGCACUUUAAGUCGGGAGGAAGGGCUGCAGGUUAAUACCUUGCAGCCUUGACGUUACCGACAGAAUAAGCACCGGCUAACUUCGUGCCAGCCGCCGCCGUAA